AUGAGUGGCUGCUUCGUUAUGACCUUGAGGAUCAGCUCACGGUCAUUUACACCGACGAGGAGGCGUAUUGGCGACUCUGGGGGACCCAAAAGUGGGUCCUCAAGGGUGACGCCAAUACGGCCUAUUUCUAGGUCAUCACCAAUGGUCGUAGGAGGCGAAAUAACAUCCCCUUGCUUUGGGAUGGGGAAACCCUCCUGCAGCGCCUGGCCGAGAUCCGUGCUCAUGUCGAUCGCUUCUAUAAAGCCCUUUUUUCCGCCCCCUAGGGGAGGCUUGGCCCUAGCUACGGACUUCUGGAUUGGUCCACAGUGCAUCUUGCUCGCGGAAAAUGCCGCCCUCAUGGCUCCGUUCACUGAGGAGGAAGUCUGGGAGGCGAUUAACGGAAUGAAUCCAUUGUCCGCCCCUGGCCCCGACGAUCUGCCGGUGAAGUUCUUCCAGACCUUCUGGACUGCCGUCAAGCCAGAGGUCAUGGCCCUCUUUGAGGAGUUCUAUGUGGGCCUUAACUACGGGAUCAUCACAUUGAUUCCCAAGGUGCCUGGAGCCUCGGACAUUCGUCAGUUCCGGCCAAUCACAGUGAUCAAUGUGAUCUUCCGCAUUCUGGCAAAGCGGUACGCCAAUAGGGUGGCCCCUUUGGCUGACCGCAUCACCCACCCUGACCAGUCCGCCUUCAUCCAAGGCCGGUAUAUUCUGGAUGGGGUCCUUGUCUUCCAUGAAGUUCUGCAUGAGGUCUGGUCCAAAAACCUCAAAGCAGUCUUCCUGAAAAUUGACUUCCACAAAGCCUACGACACGGUUAGCUGGUCCUUCCUUCGGGAAGUGUUGCUCAGGAAAGGGUUCGACGAUCGUUGGGUCACCCGAGUCAUGCAGAUGGUGGCCUCUAGGCACACCGCGGUUAACAUUAAUGGGGAGAUCGGGCCCUAUUUCCCCACCUUAUGUGGGGUUAGGCAGGGUGACCCCUUCUCUCCGUUUCUGUUCAACAUGGUGGUUGACACCCUGGCGACGAUCCUUGAUAAGGCGAAGACCGCGGGCCACAUCCACGGCAUAGUCCCGCACCUAAUGGAGGGAGGUGGUGUCUCCCUCCUCCAAUAUGCCGACGACACCAUUAUCAUGGUGGAAGGCUCGACGACCGAUAUCUGA
rnacentral:rRNA from 1 species